rnacentral:pre_miRNA from 1 species
AGUGGAAUUGCUGGGUUAUAUGGUAAUUCUAUGUUUAAUUUUUUGAGGAACCGCCAGAGUGUUUUCCACAGUGGCUGUACCAUUUUACAGUCCCACUAGCAAU